CAUAAUUAUCAGCAUACAUCUCUUAAAUAUGUUCGAAUCCUAAUAACUUAGAGCUAAAAGUAGAAAUCAAAGUAUAUAUGCGAGAUAAUACUCAACCACAAUGUUAUCUUUUUCUUAUUUAUACCUGAUGACAUAAGGGAAUGACUCAAUGAACUCGACCCACUUACAGUGUCGAUGGUUGAGUUGACAUUGAUCCUUUAGAUGCUUUAGGGGCUCAUAAUCGAUGUGGAUCAUGAAUUCCUCCGGUAAUAAAGAAUGUUGUCAUACAUCUAAUGCUCGUACCAAGGCAUAUAACUCAUUAUCGUAAGAUGAGCGAUAAAAGUGAGAAAAUUUUGGGGAAUAAGAGGGUUUUCGGGUCAGUUUUCAGUGAAAUCAGAGGAAAAAGGAGAAAACCGUAAUGAAGAUUGAAAAAACAUAAAUAAGUUCAAAGGAACUUCUAGAAGAGCUUGAAGACAUAGAGAAAGACAUGAAUUUUCAAGGAAUGUUUUGUGAAGAAAGCAAGGAAAAGGAUUAGGUUACUGUUUAGUAUAUAGAAAAAUAGAGAAGAAAUAGGAGCUCGGGAAUUGGACGCCACCAUUUAAAUGUGGUAAAGUUUAGAGUUUCCUUUUUUCUGUAAUUUGCAAAGUUUCAGUAAAUUUACAUCUCACUCACUUUUCCUUUCAUUUCAUCCAUUCCCUCUGCUUUGACGUGAU
rnacentral:lncRNA from 1 species